UCAGCCGACUUUUCUCUCUCUCUCUCUCCCCCGAACCCGAGCUGAAAACAGAGCAAAUUUGCUCCGAUCGAUUUCUCCAUCCUCAGGCCACCUAAAGACGUCGGACCACCUCCAUUAGCUUCGCCUCAACCUUGCGCAGCUGCUGGUUGCAACCUUGCGCCGCGGAACGUCCGGUAUCGGCGGCGGGAAUACGUUUUCUAUUUCCGGCCGAGUUGAGUUCGAACCGAGAUUUCUCCUAUCUCCGGCCACAAAAACUCGAGUUCUUUGGCUUGUUGAACUCCCCUUGAGUUUCUGAUCAAGAUUACAAAAGACCCGAACCGAAGGUGAAUGUUUUCACGCUCGUCGGAGCUCUCAUCGGAUUCUGCAAAAAUUCCGGCCAAACCGGACUGUUUUAGGUAAUUUCGACCACUUCCACUCAUUUUCUGACUUCGUGCUAGUUAUGAAAGUUGCUCAAAAUGAUGAAACGAAGAGGAAAAGCUCGGCCCCGACACCAUAGGCGGUGGUCGGCGGCGGAUCUGUCCCAAACUCCGGCGACCUUUUCCGGCCACUUUCGGGGGUCCCAAGGUGUUUGACGGUUUGAUUUGGCGGACGAUUUGUGAUUCAUAUUUCGAGCUGUUAAGAAGACGCAGCGGGAUUUGAGGGGUUUUUUUGUGCAGGUUAGAUUAUUGAUUAAUCGUCGUCGAAGCUGAGGUGGACUUUCCGUCACGUGGGUGUAGAAGGGCGCUUUUACUUGUAGUCUUCCGCUGUGUAGUGAGUUGGGGACGUUGAACCGAGCGCGUGCAUAUGUGGUUCGUAAAAAUCGGACUUCGUAUGCAAGAGUUAUGGCUGAAAUAGUAAAGUUACUGUUCAUAGUAACUUUUUAAUAAAAAUGGAAAGUUACCCCGAUCUCUCUUCUCCGGUUCGCCCCAUUCCCUUCCUCCUCCGAUUGCCGGCGAUUCCGGCCACCACAGGGCGUGCCACCGGUCACCAGAGGAGCGCCUCCUCCCUCCGAGCACCCCAGCAGCCUUGGUUUUCCACGAUUUGGCCGGAAAACCACGGAUCGAAGU